UACAGAGGGGGCAAGCGUUGUUCGGAAUUACUGGGCGUAAAGGGCGCGUAGGCGGCCUGCUAAGUCGAACGUGAAAUCCCUGGGCUCAACCCAGGAACUGCGUCCGAUACUGGUUGGUUUGAAUCCGGGAGAGGGAUGUGGAAUUCCAGGUGUAGCGGUGAAAUGCGUAGAUAUCUGGAGGAACAUCAGUGGCGAAGGCGGCUUCCUGGACCAAUACUGACGAUCAGGUGCGAAAGCGUGGGGAGCAAACAGG
rnacentral:rRNA from 1 species